rnacentral:piRNA from 2 species
UGCUGGCUUUGGCUUUGCAAGAGCUGU